AGCGGGCUGCAGGGCUGCGGGCGCUUGGUUCGGCCUGGCCCGGCCGGCGGCUCCUAACACCGGGCGGGCGGCUGCGGCGGCACUUCCGGGUUGGCCUUCUCCAUGUUGGUCUCGGGAACGUGAAGGGGCGGGGCCUCGAGGUCAGGGGUCAGCACCUCCCUGGUUGCCGUGGCGACUGGAGGCGCGCGACGCGGGCGCAAUGGCGGGGACCCGGGGCUUGAUGCUGCUUGGGCCUGGCCCAGUGGCGGGUCCUAGGGACGUGGGUACCUGCAGAGGCCGGCAGAUGGAGAUUCAGAAACAUAAGGACAACAAGAAACUUCCCCAAGGUAUCAUUAUAGUCUUUAGACUUCAGACACACACCACACCUCAAAUAUAUACACAACUGAAAGGAAAAUUAAGGAAGUUUUUCAAAGAACCCUAUUCCGAGUAAGAAGUGUGUUGCAUGAAUUUCUAAGAGCCAGAAAAUGCAUGACACAGGAGAAGAUGUACCCUCAUCUGUUCAGUGAGAGAUGUGCAAAUCAACAUCAACACAGAACUGCUGAAGAAAAAAAAUAUGUCUCUGAAAAGCAACUUAUUCACUGGAGAUGUGAGGAGCCAUCCGCACAUCACAAUUCUAUAGACAUCAAACGCAUGAAGCAUUUCGGAUCUGCUUUAAGACUGAGGCAGACUUUCCAUCUGGACACAGCCGACCAUCCAUGUGUCAUUACAAUGAAUCCAGCACUUCCCUGGAAGCUGGAAGGGUCAAAUUCAACUUCAACUCUGCCACUUCCUGCUUAACUUGCUGUUUAACCUUGGGCAAGCUGCCAUCCCACACGAGGCCGAAGGUGUCGGUUUUUAAAAUACAGAAAUUUGGUUCCAUGAGGGAUUAUCAAUAUACUGCUGGUGGGCCAAAUUCCAUCUGCUACUUGCCUUUGUAAAUAAAGUUUUAUUGAAACACAAACAUGCCCAUUAGUUUACUCUUGUCUGUGACUACAAGGGCAAAGUUGAAUAGUUGUUACAGAGACCAUCAGGCUCACAAAGCCUAGGUUAUUUACUAUCUGCCCAUUUACAGAGUAAGUUUGCCAGCCCUGGACUGGAUAAUUUUUUGAGUUCUUUCUAAUUCUAGAAUUCUUUAUAUAUUUUAUGAAACCCCUAAUGUUUAUAUAUUAAUUAUUUCAAUACCCGUGUCUUUACUGAGUCCCUCCUAUGAAGCAUACAUCAAGACAUAUGUGUGAUACAUUAACUAAACUUUUAACAGUAUCUUAAAUAGGAUUUCAAUGACUAACAGCUCUUGGAAAUAUCCAAGGUAACAUUUGGGGGCAAAUGUCUUAUGAUUUGAUUAUCAUUGGUAAAUAGAGCAUAUCUUUUUUUCCACUAACAAUGUUUAAGAAGUUAAAAAAAAAUCAAGAAAACCCCGUAUGGCACUAGAGACUUAUUGCAUUAAGACAUCAUCUUAACAGAUUGUUUAGUUUUGGUAAUAUAAUUUGACAUCUAAACAUAAGCUGAGAGGGAUCUCCCUCAAAACCUUUGAUAAUAUGAUUCAUUGUCAAAUGUUUGUUUUGCCUAUCUGGCACUCAUUAAUUAAUUCUUUUUAAUAUAGCUUGGAUUUACUGAUUUUGAAAAAGAGAAUUAUUCUUAUUGAUGUUGCUAAAAUAUCCAGGUGGCUUGAAUUUCACCAACUAGAUAGUUUAAUCUAGCACAUUUGUGUAGCCCUAAUCAAAUCUUUACUAACAGAUGUGAGAAGCCCAGUACUGGAGCUAAUGUUUGUGUCUCAAUGAUAAUUAAAUUAGCUUAAUAAGGAAAAUAAAUGAACAAUAAUCACCAAAAUUUUUCCCUAAACCUGUGUUAUAGUCUUAAAAACAUUUUUUCCCCUAUGGAGGCUUUUGGUAAUAAAACACAAAUUGAGGGAUUUUAAUUAAAAGAAAUUUUUUUUUCAAGAACUGGUCAUGUACUAAAUUGCUUAUAAUCAAAUAAUCAAGUAGCAUUUCUUUUAUUAUAAGAGCAAAACCUAUAAUUAAGCCAAAAUUCAAAUUUGUUUUUAAAGGUUGAAUAAUCUUUUGUUUUGGCCAAUAGUAUGUGGAUUUUUUUUUUAAGUAUUAUCUCUUUGUAGUAUUUUCUAAUGGAUAGGAAAUGCCUUUCUCAGGUUGAAUGAUUAUUUCCACAUAGAAUUAGUUCCUGCUUACAACAGUGCUCCACUAAUGUAAUGGCUCGGUGAAUUGGCUUUAUAAUUCAUUAAUCAUAGCUCACAUUGAGCUUUUGGCUCCAGGUGACAGUGCCCACCACAGGCCAAAUAACUUCUCAUUUAAAGGCAAUUUGUACAAAUAGGGAAGGUGAGAAUUCUCACAGUCCCAGAGGGAUUGAAGAGUUUUAAAAAACCAAGAUAAGGCAUUUUAUGGAAGACAGGUUGAUGGAAGAAAAGUGGCCAUUGGAGGAUGAGGCAGAUGGCUUUCCAGGGAGGCCCUGGAGCUGCCACCAUGGGGAAGGCCAUGUUGCAGCUGCUGAUCAGAGCACAUUGGACGGUGUUUCCGUGUGAACAUGAAGACAAUGCUGCCUCUGUUUCUGUGACGCUGUGCUCUGAUCUUGCUGGAGGCGAAGUGGUGUCAGCUGUGCUUACAGGACAGUCAGUGGUGGUAGAAAAGAGGCCAGUGUGACCUGUGAAGGACUGGGCCCCUCUCACUCAACCUGAGUGCCUGCAGUUGUGGCCACCUUUAUUUGUGUAUUCUACUGUAUUUAUUUAUUUGCCUGGCUAAUUAGCUCUGUGCCACAUUCCUAAGCUAGAUGUGUCCCUUCAUGUAAGUGAGAGGGAGACAGAAAGAAAGACUGAGGUGGGGGGUAGGAGAAAGAGAGGAAAGCAAGCAAGAAGAAAGAGAAAGAGAGAAGAAGAAAGGAAGAGGAAAGAAAGAGAGAAAGAGAAAGAGAAGGAAGGAAGGAGAAAGAGAAGGAAAGAAGGAGCCUUCUAAUUUUAUUUCAUUUCUCCAAUAAAUGUUCCUAUAUUAAGACUUUAGACAAAGAUUAGAAAUAUGAUUUGACAGAAAGUGUAUGGAUGUGUUGUUCUAUUGCAUUGUAAGUAAAGUAUCCAUGGCAAUAUACAAAUAAUACAGCUCCUACCCCUAUUCUCUGUUGUUACUUUCAUGUGUUGUCUUAACUUUUUAAAUUUCAAGAUAAUAUUGCGCUUAUUUAUUUUUCCAUGAGGAGGCCUAGGAUUUAGCUUGAUUAGAAAAGCUGUGGAAAAUGAAUGUGCUAAUUACUUUAAAUCAAAUUGAAAAUAAAUUUUAUCCUGUUUCAUGCAAAACAAAAAAAAAAAA
rnacentral:lncRNA from 1 species